AUGUUGGAGGAGCUGCUCAUCUUCACGCGCGGCGGCCUCAUCCUGUGGUCGCUGGCCGGCGCCGCCGCCGCGUUGAAGGGCUCCCCGAUCGACGCCCUCGUGCGGUCCUUCCUCCUCGAGGGCCGCUCCGCCUCCGCCGGCUUCACCCACGGCCCGCACGCGCUCCGAUGGACCUACGACAACGCGCUCGGGCUCGUCUUCGUCGCCGUCUACAGGCGGGUGCUCCACCUGCUGUACGUCGACGACCUCCUGGUCGCCGUCAGCGCGGAAUUCGCGCGGAUCUACAACCCGCGCCGCGUGUCCUACGACGAGUUCGGGGAGAGGUUCCGGCAGCUCCAUCUCGAGGCCGAGGCGCGCGCGUCCCGCCCAUCCUCCGUCUCCGCGAAGCCUGGUCCAGCAGCUUCAUCCCCUGGCGCUCCCCAGCCCCAUGGUGGCGGUGGCGGUGGUGGUGAGGGUGAGAAGACGGCAGAUGAGUCUGGGAAGGAUGACUCCGAUGGUGAACCUUCCCGGCAGGAGAAGCACAGCCCAGCAGCAGAUGGUAGCGUCAAUGGUUUGGAAGAGAAUUCUCAUGCCGGCCAUGGUGGUCUUGUUGUGAAAAGGGAGGAGGAAGGAGGUCCCAACAACGGGGCUUUUAAUUUGGAAAACAUAAAAAAGAUCCUUUUUCCGCACAAUGAUAAAGGCGGAGACAAGCCGAAGAGACCUGUGCACAAGCAUAAGAAACCGAGACCAGGGAGAGACAAGAAACCUGUGCCCAAGGAUAAGAAACCAUCCGAGCAGAAGUUGGAUUACUCCAACCCAGCGGAUCAUGGCGGAGGGGCUGGGGAGCAGACGGCUGUCAACCAGGGGAAGAGCAUGAUGGACAAGGAUGAAGCUGUGAGGAGCACAGCAAAGGAUGGGUGGUUCUCCUCAAUGUUCAGGAGCAUUGCAGGUAGCAAUGCGGAAGUGAAGGAGUCUGAUCUGCAACCUGCACUGAAAUCUCUGAAAGACCGGCUCAUGACCAAGAAUGUAGCCGAGGAAAUUGCAGAGAAGCUCUGUGAAUCGGUCGCUGCUAGCCUCCUAGGCAAGAAGCUUGGGUCGUUCACACGGAUAUCCUCUUCUGUUCAGACAGCUAUGGAAGAGGCUCUGGUCCGCAUUUUGACCCCAAGGCGAUCUAUUGACGUACUGAGAGAUAUUCAUGCUGCCAAGGACCGUGGCGCACCAUAUGUCAUCGUCUUUGUUGGGGUUAAUGGGGUAGGAAAAUCCACUAACCUCGCAAAGGUUGCUUAUUGGCUUCUUCAGCAUGAUGUUAGUGUCACGCUGGCAGCAUGUGACACCUUUAGAUCUGGCGCUGUUGAGCAGCUGCGUACUCACGCUCGCAGGCUUCAGAUUCCAAUAUUUGAGAAAGGAUACGAAAGGGAUCCAGCUGUAGUGGCGAAGGGUGCGAUUCAGGAAGCCACCCGGAACAAAUCAGACGUUGUUCUUGUCGACACCGCAGGGCGUAUGCAAGACAAUGAGCCACUCAUGAGGGCACUCUCCAAGCUCAUCAAUCUCAAUAACCCAGAUCUGGUUUUGUUUGUGGGAGAAGCUCUGGUGGGAAAUGAUGCUGUUGAUCAGCUCACGAAGUUUAGCCAGAAACUGACAGACCUUUCCACUGCUCCCACUGCUAGAUCGAUAGAUGGCAUCCUGCUUACCAAGUUUGACACCAUUGAUGACAAGGUUGGAGCAGCGCUUUCCAUGGUGUAUGUAUCUGGAGCUCCUGUCAUGUUCGUUGGCUGUGGUCAGUCUUACACUGACCUCAAGAAGCUCAACGUAAAAUCCAUUGUCAAUACCCUCCUGGAGUGA
rnacentral:rRNA from 1 species